CUGACCACUUUCCAGUCGUCCAUCUGCACUGCGGAGACGCCAAGCUGGUGUGCCGAGAACGACAGGGCGGUCUUGCUGGUGCGGAGGUCAUGGAUCCUCACCCUGGAAGGCCCGAGGUGAGCAGAGAAAAGGACUGAAGAGUGAGCAACCUGUAGCUAUUCUGAAAGAAAGUGCUGUAGCAAAAGCCCGAGGGCUGUGAGGAGCCAACACACAGGCCACGCAGUGACGCAGAGAACUAACACUGAGCUUAGGAUAAAAGGACAGUGGCUUAAGUAAGACCGAAACUGUCUGCCGGUCAGCAAAUACACACAGAGCAAACCCACCUAGAAGAGUUCAAACGGGUCAAAAAGUAAAACUCAAUAUAUGCUACACUCAAAUGCCAUGGUUGUAGGUGCAAGGAAGAGGUAGUAAUUUUAACACCAGAAAAGGGAUUUCGGAGCACAAAGAUGAGGUGAGAGUACUUUAGAAUGAUAAGGGUACAAUUCACUACAUGUUCAGUAAAACUUGCCUGGAAAAAUAACCCAGAAAACCUUCAUGGACCUCAUUGUUUAAUUUGAUUUCUUUGGUCUUUAUAAUCUAUUCAGGUUUUCUAUUUAACUGUUUAAAUCUCCAAAUUUGAAGAUAGAGAUGAAUACAAGACUUUCCAAGAAUGACCAAAGUAACCAAGAGCACUCUGGGCCAGCUGUCCCGCCCGGAAGGAGCAGCCCCGGGGUGUGGCCCGCCUCGCCUCGCAGGAGAGAGGAAAGCUUCCAAACCCACAUGGAGCCAGCGUUCUCUUCCAAGAAGCCAGGCGAAGAGAGCACCGGGAAGGAGCAAUCGAUCGGCAUCAAGGCUAAGACCUGAAUGAAAUAUUAACUAACAGAAUCCACCCAACUCCUGUUAGACAAUCCACCUACUAUUGUAACAAACAAGAAAAACACACGGUCACUCCCAGGGAUGCUGAAACGAAAUCUGAUGAAAUCAAACAUUUAUUCCUAAUAAAAAGU